rnacentral:rRNA from 1 species
AUUGAACGCUGGCGGCAGGCCUAACACAUGCAAGUCGAACGGUAACAGGAAGAAGCUUGCUUCUUUGCUGACGAGUGGCGGACGGGUGAGUAAUGUCUGGGAAACUGCCUGAUGGAGGGGGAUAACUACUGGAAACGGUAGCUAAUACCGCAUAACGUCGCAAGACCAAAGAGGGGGACCUUCGGGCCUCUUGCCAUCGGAUGUGCCCAGAUGGGAUUAGCUAGUAGGUGGGGUAACGGCUCACCUAGGCGACGAUCCCUAGCUGGUCUGAGAGGAUGACCAGCCACACUGGAACUGAGACACGGUCCAGACUCCUACGGGAGGCAGCAGUGGGGAAUAUUGCACAAUGGGCGCAAGCCUGAUGCAGCCAUGCCGCGUGUAUGAAGAAGGCCUUCGGGUUGUAAAGUACUUUCAGCGGGGAGGAAGGGAGUAAAGUUAAUACCUUUGCUCAUUGACGUUACCCGCAGAAGAAGCACCGGCUAACUCCGUGCCAGCAGCCGCGGUAAUACGGAGGGUGCAAGCGUUAAUCGGAAUUACUGGGCGUAAAGCGCACGCAGGCGGUUUGUUAAGUCAGAUGUGAAAUCCCCGGGCUCAACCUGGGAACUGCAUCUGAUACUGGGCAAGCUUGAGUCUCGUAGAGGGGGGUAGAAUUCCAGGUGUAACGGUGAAAUGCCGUAGAGAUCUAGAAAGAGAUACCGGUGUCGAAGGGGCCCCCGGGAGAAGGACGACCCCCCAGUGCGAAGCGUGGGAGCGAACACGAGUAAUAGCAAUUAAUCAAGGCAAAAUGGGGUGGGUACCAGCUAUCCCCCCUCGACGGCAGGGCGGCGGGGACCAAGGGUGUUUUUUAUCCUACAAAAAACAAAUAUAGGGG